GCGGGUGUAGCUCAAUUGGCUAGAGCGUCAGCCUUCCAAGCUGAAUGUUGAGGGAUCGUGCCCCUUCACCCGCU
rnacentral:tRNA from 1 species